rnacentral:rRNA from 1 species
AUUGAACGCUGGCGGCAGGCCUAACACAUGCAAGUCGAGCGGAUGAAGGGAGCUUGCUCCUGGAUUCAGCGGCGGACGGGUGAGUAAUGCCUAGGAAUCUGCCUGGUAGUGGGGGAUAACGCCCGGAAACGGGCGCUAAUACCGCAUACGUCCUGAGGGAGAAAGUGGGGGAUCUUCGGACCUCACGCUAUCAGAUGAGCCUAGGUCGGAUUAGCUAGUUGGUGGGGUAAAGGCCUACUAAGGCGACGAUCCGUAACUGGUCUGAGAGGAUGAUCAGUCACACUGGAACUGAGACACGGUCCAGACUCCUACGGGAGGCAGCAGUGGGGAAUAUUGGACAAUGGGCGAAAGCCUGAUCCAGCCAUGCCGCGUGUGUGAAGAAGGUCUUCGGAUUGUAAAGCACUUUAAGUUGGGAGGAAGGGCAGUAAGUUAAUACCUUGCUGUUUUGACGUUACCAACAGAAUAAGCACCGGCUAACUUCGUG